AUUCUAUGUUUAUUUGGUUUUACAAACAAUGAAAACAACUUAUUUGUUGUGACAGCUAAUUUAGUGACUUUUUAGAAAAUCAAUUUAGAUCACCAUGAAAGUUUGUAAAUUAAUUGUCCACACUAAAACUUUUAGUGAUGUAAUUGUGCCCAAAGUGCUAACUUCAUUCACAUUUUUAAUUAGUUCCAAAGAUGGUUUCAAUUUUGUAAGCAACGUGUUAAGAAAUAUUCAAAACAUAUAGCUGAGAGGUAUAUUUAAGUUAGAAUCUAUGUGACUGUCAUCUUAAGAUAAACAAAAACAUGAGCAGAUAAAAGAUAAAACAGAAGUCUCACUGGAACAUUGCUCACAGCACAAUCCGAUGGCUAGACCUAGGAACUGCUACUAGCAGGAUGUUCACAAAAAAUAGCAAAUACUGUUGAUUGGACCUAGUAUUAAGAGAAAGUUGUAGUGAAACUACCUUGAUUUUUACCUCAUAAGAACAAUGUCAAACUUCAAAUACUUUCUAAUUCUUAUUUUUAGUCAUAGGUUUGUGAGAAAUGUUUCAUGUUAAUGAUAUGAUUUAUAUGCAUUCAAACAUGUUUUAGUUUUUAUUGUGAAGUGUGUAAAUACCUACUUAUUGACUAUUCAAACAAUGAAGAACAAAAACAUUUGAAAUUUUGUGCUAGUAAUAGACAAUAUCUUUUAUUCAUAAUUUUUGGUUU